UCUUAUUCAUUUUUCCAAAGUAAAAAAGCAUUUGGAACAAGCGUCUUGGUGCGGUCUAACCCUUUUUUCUUUCAUAUGUUCCAAGAUACGGAGAAAGGAACUGGGUUCAUGAACAGUUAAGACUGUUGGAAUUUACACAAAAACCAAAGAGUGACAAAGGAUUUAAGAAUUAAUCUAACAAUGUAUGACUGUCAAUGCUAACAGUUCCUUACUAACUUUAUUAAACGAACAGCAUUUUAAAGUUGUAUAUUUAUUACUAAUUAUAUAUGCAGUCAUUCUUGAUCGAAGCGUAAAUGUCCGAGUGUUCCCCGAACGCCUCUCAACGGUCUCUCCCGUCCCGUCCAGAGACGGAAGUUAUUCUGUGCUGCUCGUUGGACUGGCUAAUCAGAAAUCUUCAUCAGCUCUUGCGUUGACUGGCUAAACUGACAUCGUCACCAGCUCGUGCGUUGACUAGGACCGAAAUCUGGUACCUGGGAAUCAAUACUGUUGCUGAGUGGUGUCCUCCGGACCAGUCUCCUCUCACCACUAUUGGACAUUUUGUUUCCAGCUGUGUUUACCUUCCUUUUCCUGUUCCAACUCCUCUGGAACGCCAUUCCCUGUGCAUAAUCCUAUCUUUCUAUUUGUAAAAGUGUUUCCAUAACCAGUUAUCCCAAUAGGUGUUCUGGUUUUCCUUAAUUCAGAAACCUGGUCUACAGGUGACCAGAGUUUCCUUUCUUUUUACAAACCUGGUAUUUGCUUUGUUUAAACCAGUGUUUACUGUCUCUCUUCUGACCUUUGUUUCCAGCUGACCUUACUUCAGCAAUUUGGCCUUAUCAGAACUCAACUUUUUGGCACAACUUUUUGGCACAACUAUUUUCAGAACUCAACUUUUUGGCACAACUAUUAUCAGAACUCUGGUCUCUUUGAGGCACCCUGUUUCUUGGCAAAAAAAAAUUAUCAAGUGAAAAGUGCUUGAUUGGGGUUUUCUGGCUACCCUGCAUCUUUAUUGAUUGAUCGAGACCUGAGAGAAGUGCUGCAUCUGGUUCUGAACUGCUGUCCUGUGGAUUUACCAAAGGUUUGUUGUUGCUGUUGAAAUAAAACAUCUGUAAAAAAGAAAA